rnacentral:rRNA from 1 species
UACGUAGGUGGCAAGCGUUGUCCGGAUUUAUUGGGUUUAAAGGGUGCGUAGGUGGUCUAUUAAGUCAGUGCUUGAAAUAUCCCCGGCUUAAACCGGGAGGGUGGCAUUGAUACUGAUGGACUUGAGUAAAGUUGAGGUGGGCGGAAUUGACGGUGUAGCGGUGAAAUGCUUAGAUAUCGUCAAGAACACCUAUUGCGAAGGCAGCUCACUAAGCUUUAACUGACACUGAGGCACGAAAGCUAGGGGAGCAAACAGG